CAGCUUGUCCUCAAAAGAGAUAAGGCGUGAAGUGGAUACUAAUGAUUGAAAUAUUAGGGGGUGUUAAGGGAAAAGAACUUGGAAACUCUUUUUGGAAGGUGGCUGCAUUCUCAGCUAAUCGAUAGAAGAAGCAUAGGAUCCCCUUAAGAAAUACUCCUAUUUUGAACGAAAAGAAAAUCGAAUAUGUGCAAAGCUUCUAGAAGAGAGGCUCAUAAGUUGGAAUAGGAUAGGCUUCAGGUUUUUCGGGGAAGUCAGUCUGGAUUUAUUGACUUGAUUGACGUAGGAUUCUUUUAAAGAAAAUCUAGGGAUCCCUUUAUAAACUCAGUUUUCUUUCACUGGAGAAAAAAAAAUAGCAGGCGGCAGUGGGGAGCAUUUCUCUGAGAAUAAUCUGAGUUUCAUUCAUAAAAUCCAAAAUCUGCGUUUCAUUCAUAAAAUUCUAAGAUCUGGUUUCAAAUUUGUGGAUUUAAAAGCUGGAUCUGCUUGUUGUUUUGCUAAGAAGCUGAGCUUCAUCCUUUCCUUUGCUUCCAUUCUCUUGUGAUCUAUUUCUAUUGCCACAUUCAAGGAAUGAGUUUGGAUGGAAGUUGGCGAAAAUGGAUGAUUUGAUGCAAAAAGAAGUUGAGAGGCAAGAGCUGGGAGCGUGCCCCAAUUGGUGCAUUGUAUGAAAUCUAGCCGCGAAAUGGCCUAAAAAGUGAAUCAAAAUCAGUAAAGUAUGGCACUUGGUCACCAACCCCAGCACGCAAAAGAAACAAAGAAGACAAAAAAAAAACUAGGAGCGUGCCUAGGGGUCGCGCACAUUGCAUGAACCCUAGGCACGCGACUCAACUUCUUCUUUUCGAGAUAAGAGUGCUCAAGGCCGCCUCAUACAAAUACGAAUUCAUAUAAAUACAUCAUAAAAUAUUAUUUUACUGGAAGAAACACUACUUUAGAGUAAGACAACACCUAAAGAAGCGAGAACACGCUAGGAGCAAGGAGGAAGUUUCAACCACGAGUUUUUCCCUUUCUUCUUCCUAUUUUCAUUGUUGGUUAUGACUUUUAGUAUUGUAAUUCUACAUACUAUUACGAGUAGCUAAUUUAUUAUCUAGAGUUUUGAUGGAC